GACGAAGAACGUAGCGAAAUGCGAUAAGUAAUGUGAAUUGCAGAAUUCCGUGAAUCAUCGAAUCUUUGAACGCACAUUGCGCCCCCUGGUAUUCCGGGGGGCAUGCCUGUCCGAGCGUCAUUGCAACCUUCAAGCGCGGCUUGUGUGUUGGGUCUCGUCCCCCGUGGACGGGCCCGAAAGGCAGUGGCGGCGUCCCGACAUGGUGCCCGAGCGUAUGGGAAUCCUCUUCCGCUCGAAUCGGCCCAUGCGGCGCUGGUCGUAACCAAAUUUUUUACCGGUUGACCUCGGAUCAGGUAGGGAUACCCGCUGAACUUAAGCAUAUCAAUAAGCGGAGGA
rnacentral:misc_RNA from 1 species